rnacentral:lncRNA from 1 species
UAACUCUCUUACCUGCAAAUUAAGUAAAAAUUGGGAUCACCCCCAUUCAUAUAGACGAUAAGGGUGCAGUAGAGGGAAAAAUGAAAUCUUUAUAUAUGAAACUGGCUCAAACACCACUCUAGUUCUUGAAAAAAAGGAAAGCACACAUACACACAGGCAGAGCUAGAGUGCUGAGAGCGGGUUUGGCCGAACCCAAUAGCUUUAGUUCGAACCCUGUAUUUGUCUUUAAAAAAUCAUGAGAUAUGCAUAAAUUAUCAAUUUAGAACCCGAUAACUUAAAGGCGAUUAAAAUUCUGAACCCAUAAGAUUGAAAUCCUGGUUGUGCCUCUGGCACACACAUGGAGAGGGCAGAAAGAAACAGGUACCUUUGCGAAUUCUUCGAUUCGGAGGUCCUAGUUUCUUCUUCUACUGCUGUUGGCAUCUGAAAAGAUUUGCCUUUUUUGUCAUGUUUGAAGCUUCUCCAUUGCUUUGAUUCAAAAGAUUUGCCUUUUUUGCCAUAUUUGAAGGUUCUAUAUUUUCUUGGAUUUGAAUGCUAGGGCUUCUUUUCCUCUCCUAUUGCUUUGAUUGAAAAGAUUCCGUCUUUGGAGGCUUCGAUUUGGGAAAUGCUUACUGCUAGUGAUCAAAAUGCUCUACUGGAGAAAGGAAAAGCAGAUUAAGAUUCUGACCCAGACAGUCUUGGAUCUAAAGGAUGGGGAGACGA